UAUUUUAAUUAAAUUUUUUAAGAUAUUUUAUUUUAAAUCGCAUUUUUCCAGUUCGUUUAAUACAAAAACUCUUAAGUCUGGUAACAAUACAAAAUGGCAGCUCUAAAGAAAUCGCUAAAAUGUCCCGUAACAACAAUAUAUCCCGCUUAAAGAUGUAACAAAAAAACCGCUAGAUAUGCCCAUAAUAAUAAUGCUAGAUAAACAACACCAUUCAAAAUUGUGCUGAUAUUUCGUGUAGCAGCAGUCAAUAGCAAAAUUUAGUUGUGUGUGCUUGAAAUCAAAAUUUAUAUUCUUAUUAUUCUAUUUGUUCAAAUAUUAUUUCAUUAUUAUAUUAAAGCGAAUAUUACUGUUUCUUUGUUUAACAAAAUAAAAAGUAAAAUACGUAAACAACGGAAAAACGGCUGCAUAUAAAUUUAAACAAAACGCAAAAUAAAAGUGAAAUUUCUUGUGCUAAAACCUUAAAAUAUAAAACAAAUUAAAAAAAAGAAAAAAAUAUAAUUAAGUGACGAAAUAUCAUAAAAGUUAAAAAUAUAGCGUUUCCUAAUACUUAUAAUAAAAAAGUGUUUUUUUUUCAAAUAUACAUAAAUACCCACUCAUAACAAACGUGUAGUGUUUGGUCCAAUUUAUAAAAAAAAUCAAAAAAUAAAAAACACAAUUUUUUGUUAAAAUUCCCUCCCACAGUGCGUCGGUGGGCCCUGCACAAGUAUUAAAUUUGAAUUUCGAAAAUCAUCAAAGAAAGUUUUAGAAAGGUAUGUAUGUGUGUGUUUGUGCAUUUUUUCAUUUGUUUUUUUUUUAAAUUUACUUUUACUAUUUAUUUAACAAAUUUCUACUGUUUAUUUAGUCUUAUCAUGUUUUUCAUUUCUGUUAAAUAAAUUUACUUUAGAUAACAAUUUUAUAUUGUUAAGAGCAGUGAUAUUAUUCUUGUUUUUU